AAAAAAUUUGUCGGUUUCUUAUACGGUUGCGAAGCCUUAGGAAUCACAAGAAAAACAGUGUUCAGGGAGAUAACUCUUACAUUGGAAAGUAUUCGGUUAAGCGGUGUCAGUUUUAAAAGCGUAUAAACUGUUCGAUAUCAUAUUCCAAAUAUCUAAGCGACAUAUUGCGAAACAAAAAAACAGCAAUGGAAAAAAAUUAGGCGGAAG
rnacentral:lncRNA from 1 species